GAUGAACGCUAGCGGGAGGCCUAACACAUGCAAGCCGAGCGGUAUUGUUUCUUCGGAAAUGAGAGAGCGGCGUACGGGUGCGUAACACGUGUGCAACCUGCCUUUAUCUGGGGGAUAGCCUUUCGAAAGGAAGAUUAAUACUCCAUAAUAUAUUGAACGGCAUCGUUUAAUAUUGAAAGCUCCGGCGGAUAGAGAUGGGCACGCGCAAGAUUAGCUAGUUGGUGAGGUAACGGCUCACCAAGGCGAUGAUCUUUAGGGGGCCUGAGAGGGUGAUCCCCCACAAGGGGACUGAGACACGGAACAGAAUCCUACGGGAGGCAGCAGUGAGGAAUAUUGGUCAAUGGGUGCAAGCCUGAACCAGCCAUCCCGCGUGAAGGACGACUGCCCUAUGGGUUGUAAACUUCUUUUGUAUAGGGAUAAACCUACCCUCGUGAGGGUAGCUGAAGGUACUAUACGAAUAAGCACCGGCUAACUCCGUGCCAGCCGCCGCCGUAA
rnacentral:rRNA from 1 species